rnacentral:misc_RNA from 1 species
GAAAUGCGAUAAGUAGUGUGAAUUGCAGAAUUCAGUGAAUCAUCGAAUCUUUGAACGCACAUUGCGCCUCCUGGUAUUCCGGGAGGCAUGCCUGUUCGAGCGUCAUUAAAGACCACUCAAGCGAUUUUGCUUGGUAUUGGAAGAAGAGCGCCUCUGGCCCUCCCUUCCGAAAUUCAAUGGCGGAAAGUCUCACGUGCCCCGGCGUAGUAAGUUUAUCUUUCGCUUGGACUCUGAGGCGUUCUCGCCCUCAAAUCCCCAAUACUCUAGGUUGACCUCGGAUCAGGUAGGGAUACCCGCUGAACUUAA